UGGGGAAUUUUGCACAAUGGGGGAAACCCUGAUGCAGCGACGCCGCGUGAUUUAGAAGGCCUUCGGGUUGUAAAAAUCUUUUCUAUGGGAAGAAAAUGACAGUACCAUAGGAAUAAGGACCGGCUAAUUACGUGCCAGCAGCCGCGGUAAUACGUAAGGUCCGAGCGUUGUCCGGAAUCAUUGGGCGUAAAGGGUACGUAGGCGGGUAAGCAAGUUAGAAGUGAAAUCCUAUAGCUCAACUAUAGUAAGCUUUUAAAACUGCUCAUCUUGAGGUAUGGAAGGGAACGUGGAAUUCCUAGUGUAGCGGUGAAAUGCGCAGAUAUUAGGAGGAAUACCGGUGGCGAAGGCGACUUUCUGGCCAUAACCUGACGCUGAGGUACGAAAGCGUGGGUAGCAAACAGG
rnacentral:rRNA from 1 species